rnacentral:rRNA from 1 species
UACGUAGGGGUCAAGCGUUGUCCGGAUUUAUUGGGCGUAAAGAGCGUGUAGGCGGUUUGGUAGGUCCGCUGUGAAAACUCGAGGCUCAACCUCGAGACGCCGGUGGAAACCAUCAGGCUAGAGUCCGGAAGAGGAGAGUGGAAUUCCUGGUGUAGCGGUGAAAUGCGCAGAUAUCAGGAAGAACACCCGUGGCUAAGGCGGCUCUCUAGUACGGUACUGACGCUGAGACGCGAAAGCGUGGGGAGCGAACAGG